UCCUGGCUCAGGACGAACGCUGGCGGCGUGCUUAACACAUGCAAGUCGAACGGAGAUUCAGCAAUGGAUCUUAGUGGCGAACGGGUGAGUAACGCGUAGGCAAUCUGCCUUCUAGAUGGGGACAACAUCCCGAAAGGGGUGCUAAUACCGAAUGUUGUACCGUUUCCGCAUGGAGAUGAUACUAAAGGUGGCCUCUGAAUAUGCUACCGCUAGAAGAUGAGCCUGCGUCUGAUUAGCUAGUUGGAGGGGUAACGGCCCACCAAGGCUUCGAUCAGUAGCCGGUCUGAGAGGAUGAACGGCCACACUGGGACUGAGACACGGCCCAGACUCCUACGGGAGGCAGCAGUGGGGAAUCUUCCGCAAUGGACGAAAGUCUGACGGAGCAACGCCGCGUGAGUGAAGAAGGUUUUCGGAUCGUAAAGCUCUUUCGUUAGGGACGAACGUGCUCUUUGUGAAU
rnacentral:rRNA from 1 species